GUGUAGUUAAUAGCUGCAUUAUUUGACGUUAGCGACAGAAGAAGCACCGGCUAACUCCGUGCCAGCAGCCGCGGUAAUACGGAGGGUGCGAGCGUUAAUCGGAAUUACUGGGCGUAAAGCGCAUGCAGGUGGUUUGUUAAGUCAGAUGUGAAAGCCCGGGGCUCAACCUCGGAAUAGCAUUUGAAACUGGCAGACUAGAGUACUGUAGAGGGGGGUAGAAUUUCAGGUGUAGCGGUGAAAUGCGUAGAGAUCUGAAGGAAUACCGGUGGCGAAGGCGGCCCCCUGGACAGAUACUGACACUCAGAUGCGAAAGCGUGGGGAGCAAACAGGAUUAGAUACCCUGGUAGUCCACGCCGUAAACGAUGUCUACUUGGAGGUUGUGGCCUUGAGCCGUGGCUUUCGGAGCUAACGCGUUAAGUAGACCGCCUGGGGAGUACGGUCGCAAGAUUAAAACUCAAAUGAAUUGACGGGGGCCCGCACAAGCGGUGGAGCAUGUGGUUUAAUUCGAUGCAACGCGAAGAACCUUACCUACUCUUGACAUCCAGAGAACUUUCCAGAGAUGGAUUGGUGCCUUCGGGAACUCUGAGACAGGUGCUGCAUGGCUGUCGUCAGCUCGUGUUGUGAAAUGUUGGGUUAAGUCCCGCAACGAGCGCAACCCUUAUCCUUGUUUGCCAGCGAGUAAUGUCGGGAACUCCAGGGAGACUGCCGGUGAUAAACCGGAGGAAGGUGGGGACGACGUCAAGUCAUCAUGGCCCUUACGAGUAGGGCUACACACGUGCUACAAUGGCGCAUACAGAGGGCGGCCAACUUGCGAAAGUGAGCGAAUCCCAAAAAGUGCGUCGUAGUCCGGAUUGGAGUCUGCAACUCGACUCCAUGAAGUCGGAAUCGCUAGUAAUCGUGGAUCAGAAUGCCACGGUGAAUACGUUCCCGGGCCUUGUACACACCGCCCGUCACACCAUGGGAGUGGGCUGCAAAAGAAGUAGGUAGUUUAACCUUCGGGGGGACGCUUACCACUUUGUGGUUCAUGACUGGGGUGAAGUCGUAACAAGGUAGCGCUAGGGGAACCUGGCGCUGGAUCACCUCCUUAUACGAUGAU
rnacentral:rRNA from 1 species